UACGUAGGGGGCAAGCGUUAUCCGGAUUUACUGGGUGUAAAGGGAGCGUAGACGGCGAUACAAGUCUGAAGUGAAAGCCCGGGGCUCAACCCCGGGACUGCUUUGGAAACUGUGUUGCUGGAGUGCUGGAGAGGCAAGCGGAAUUCCUAGUGUAGCGGUGAAAUGCGUAGAUAUUAGGAAGAACACCAGUGGCGAAGGCGGCUUGCUGGACAGUAACUGACGCUGAGGCUCGAAAGCGUGGGGAGCAAACAGG
rnacentral:rRNA from 1 species